AUAAAAUUAAUAAAAAAAGAUGCAUGCAUCGAUUGAUGUAGAGGUUAGGGCUUUGCCUCCAUCUAUUAAAAUAAACUUGCUAGAUUAUUUUCAACAGUUAACCAGCGUUGCCGACAAAUAGUCUGGCUUUUCGUCUCGUCAAAACAUGCCGCUGUAUUUCGACUAUAGUUUUCCACCAGCAACAAAGGCAGAUUCGAUCUGCAAAUUAAUCGAUGAAGCAUCUCAAAUUCCAUUUUUGUCGGCCAUAAGAAUCCCGAAACAAAUAUCUUGCAUAUAGUAGUACGUACGCGCCCAUACAUGCACGGCGGCCGCUCGCCCUGGCUAGCUAUAUAUACCAUGACGAUGUCGCUUCUUCUCUUCCCAUAUGACCAAAUCACGAACGGGCAGCGAGUACUCAGACAAAUUCCUAAAGUGUAACUGAGUUUGUAUAAGUUGAAGCAUGGAGGGCAACCGCACUGACCUGCAGCCACCACCAGGCUACCCAACGAUUGUGGACUCAGUGCCAAGCUGCGACGACUCGCCACGCCGAGGACGAACAAGACCACGCGGCCGGAAAACUAGUUUUCUCGAUGCAUGUGUUGCCGCACUGUGCUGCUGCUGGCUGUGCGACCUGUGCUGCGUUUAAUUGGAUCGGAGGGCAACGAAACAAGCUCUUUUUGUACGAGCUUAUCCAGAUCAUCCACAUGAUGUUGCGUCAUCUAAAAAGAACGAUGAUUAGUUAUACCGCAAGUUGAUUUGUACUGCAUACUUAUACUACUACAUAGCUUAUUACUAUGUCUUUGAUCCUUAUCUUGUUUGUAAUGCCAUACAUGUAUCUUCGUGCU